GACGAACGCUGGCGGCGUGCUUAACACAUGCAAGUCGAACGGAAAGGCCCUGCUUUUGUGGGGUGCUCGAGUGGCGAACGGGUGAGUAACACGUGAGUAACCUGCCCUUGACUUUGGGAUAACUUCAGGAAACUGGGGCUAAUACCGGAUAGGAGCUCCUGCUGCAUGGUGGGGGUUGGAAAGUUUCGGCGGUUGGGGAUGGACUCGCGGCUUAUCAGCUUGUUGGUGGGGUAGUGGCUUACCAAGGCUUUGACGGGUAGCCGGCCUGAGAGGGUGACCGGCCACAUUGGGACUGAGAUACGGCCCAGACUCCUACGGGAGGCAGCAGUGGGGAAUAUUGCACAAUGGGCGGAAGCCUGAUGCAGAAACGCCGCGUGCGGGAUGACGGCCUUCAGGUUGUAAACCGCUUUCGCCUGUGACGAAGCGUGAGUGACGGUAAUGGGUAAAGAAGCACCGGCUAACUACGU
rnacentral:rRNA from 1 species